GACAGAGGGUGCAAACGUUGCUCGGAAUCACUGGGCGUAAAGGGCGUGUAGGCGGGAAGGUAAGUCGGGCGUGAAAUCCCUGAGCUCAACUCAGGAACUGCACUCGAAACUACUUUUCUUGAGUGCCGGAGAGGAAAGCGGAAUACCUGGUGCAGAGGUGAAAUUCGUAGAUAUCAGGUGGAACACCAGUGGCGAAGGCGGCUUUCUGGACGGUAACUGACGCUGAGACGCGAAAGCGUGGGGAGCAAACAGG
rnacentral:rRNA from 1 species